rnacentral:rRNA from 1 species
AGAUUGAACGCUGGCGGCAGGCCUAACACAUGCAAGUCGAGCGGCAGCACGGGUACUUGUACCUGGUGGCGAGCGGCGGACGGGUGAGUAAUGCCUAGGAAUCUGCCUGGUAGUGGGGGAUAACGCGUCGGAAACGGACGCUAAUACCGCAUACGUCCUACGGGAGAAAGCGAGGGACCUUCGGGCCUUGCGCUAUCAGAUGACGCCGUAGGUCGGAUUAGCUAGUU